rnacentral:rRNA from 1 species
UACGUAGGGGGCGAGCGUUGUCCGGAAUUAUUGGGCGUAAAGAGCUCGUAGGCGGUUUGUCGCGUCGGGAGUGAAAUCCACUGGCUUAACUGGUGGCUUGCUUUCGAUACGGGCAGACUGGAGGUAUGCAGGGGAGAACGGAAUUCCUGGUGUAGCGGUGAAAUGCGCAGAUAUCAGGAGGAACACCGGUGGCGAAGGCGGUUCUCUGGGCAUGUCCUGACGCUGAGGAGCGAAAGUGUGGGGAGCGAACAGG